CACGUAGGGGCCAAGCGUUGUCCGGAUUUAUUGGGCGUAAAGAGCUCGUAGGCGGUUCGUCGCGUCGGCUGUGAAAUCCCGAGGCUCAACCUCGGGUCUGCAGUCGAUACGGGCGGACUGGAGUUCGGCAGGGGAGACUGGAAUUCCUGGUGUAGCGGUGAAAUGCGCAGAUAUCAGGAGGAACACCGGUGGCGAAGGCGGGUCUCUGGGCCGAUACUGACGCUGAGGAGCGAAAGCGUGGGGAGCGAACAGG
rnacentral:rRNA from 1 species